rnacentral:rRNA from 1 species
GGGGCGUAAAGCGCAUGCAGGUGGUUUGUUAAGUCAGAUGUGAAAGCCCGGGGCUCCCUUCGGAAUUGCAUUUGAAACUGGCAGACUAGAGUACUGUACAGGGGGGUAGAAUUUCAGGUGUAGCGGUGAAAUGCGUAGAGAUCUGAAGGAAUACCGGUGGCGAAGGCGGCCCCCUGGACAGAUACUGACACUCAGAUGCGAAAGCGUGGGGAGCAAACAGGAUUAGAUACCCUGGUAGUCCACGCCGUAAACGAUGUCUACUUGGAGGUUGUGGCCUUGAGCCGUGGCUUUCGGAGCUAACGCGUUAAGUAGACCGCCUGGGGAGUACGGUCGCAAGAUUAAAACUCAAAUGAAUUGACGGGGGCCCGCACAAGCGGUGGAGCAUGUGGUUUAAUUCGAUGCAACGCGAAGAACCUUACCUACUCUUGACAUCCAGAGAACUUUCCAGAGAUGGAUUGGUGCCUUCGGGAACUCUGAGACAGGUGCUGCAUGGCUGUCGUCAGCUCGUGUUGUGAAAUGUUGGGUUAAGUCCCGCAACGAGCGCAACCCUUAUCCUUGUUUGCCAGCGAGUAAUGUCGGGAACUCCAGGGAGACUGCCGGUGAUAAACCGGAGGAAGGUGGGGACGACGUCAAGUCAUCAUGGCCCUUACGAGUAGGGCUACACACGUGCUACAAUGGCGCAUACAGAGGGCAGCCAACUUGCGAGAGUGAGCGAAUCCCAAAAAGUGCGUCGUAGUCCGGAUCGGAGUCUGCAACUCGACUCCGUGAAGUCGGAAUCGCUAGUAAUCGUGGAUCAGAAUGCCACGGUGAAUACGUUCCCGGGCCUUGUACACACCGCCCGUCACACCAUGGGAGUGGGCUGCAAAAGAAGUAGGUAGUUUAACCUUCGGGAGGACGCUUACCACUUUGUGGUUCAUGACUGGGGUGA